AAAAACGUAAGAGGCGAGAAUUCCCCAUGUGGUCAGAACAGAAGGAGACGUUUCCUGUUUCCACUUCCGCGUCCAGAUGUUUAUUCGAAAAGUUCACGACAUUCCAAGUACGUGAGAAGGAAGAAAUGGAUCCGUCAUCCGCGUCUCGGGUUCUCCGCCUCGACCUGCUGAAUGAGACCCCUCUUCAAGAAAAAGAAAAUGUCACAGUGCUUUCGUGUUGGGGGAUCUUCAUGUCCACAUCCAGAAGGUCUUCACGCCUGGGGAUAAUAUUGUUUGAUCGUUAUUAUUUAAAGUACAGAAGUCAACACAGGAAGCUGACGCCACAAUGUUGUCACCGCCGUCAUCUGAUGAAAAGGAGGAAACUCAAAGUUACUAAAAUCAAACUUCAAAGAGAAAAUACCAUUGUCUCAGGUGUUACCGCCACAGUCUAUGGCUCUGACAUCGGGGCCUACGGAGGAAGCUCAGUGCAGUCGAUGGACAAGCUAAAAGUCACACUGAUGGUCAAGAAAGUUAUGUUUAGCUGUACAUUCAAUGUUCUUCUUGUGCAUUGUAGUCACAGGUUCACCAUGGCAGCAAAAAUGUCACUAUAGCAUCUACAGUCCUAAAAUAGUAGCCGCAGCCCUGACAUAGCAGUCACAGUCCCAAAAUACCAGCCACAGCUCCACCAUAGCAGUCACAGGUCCACCAUGGCAGAAAAAAUUUCACUAUAGCAGUCACAGUCCUAAAAUAGUAGCCGCAGCCCCGACAUAGCAGUCACAGUCCCAAAAUAGUAGCCGCAGCCCCGACAUAGCAGUCACAGGUCCAAAAUACCAGCCACAGCUCCACCACAGCAGUCACAGGUCCACCAUGGCAGAAAAAAUGUCACUAUAGAAGUCACAGUCCUAAAAUAGUAGCCACAGCCCCGACAUAGCAGUCACUGGCUCACUAUAGCAGCAAAAAGGUCACCAUAAUACCCACAGUCCCAAAAUACCAUCCACGGUGCCCCCAUAGCAGUCACAGUCCCAUCACAGCAGUCACAAUCCCAAAAUAGUAGCCACAGUCCCAACAUAGCAGUCACGGUGCCAACAUAAUAGCAAUCACAAUCCCACCAUAGCAUACACAGCCCUACAAUAUCAGCCACAGUCCCGCCAAAGCAGCCACACAUCCCACAACUGCAGUCCCAGUCCCACCAUGGCAGCCGUAGUACCACCCCACCAUAGCAGUCCUAUCACAGUAGCCACAGUAUCGACAUAGCAGCCGCAGUCCAAUAAUAGCAUUCGCAGUCUUACCAUAAUAGCCACAGUCUAACCAAAGCACCCACAUUCCCGUUAUUACAGUCCCAGUCCCACCAUAACAGCCACAGCAGCCACAGUGUCCUCCUCGUUAAAAAAAAAAGUUCUCGACUGGACAGCCUCUCCAGGAGAAGUGUAGUAACCUUCCAGAACGACCCUCUGCUAAAAAUUUAGGGGGUCAUUUAUUAUACUGAAAUACGCUUAAAUUUGGCAGGCGCAGAUGGCGGCGCAGCGGUUAGUUGCGUUGUAGACGUUGGUCUUAAUAAACCCCAUCACUGGUGGUGGAUCCGCUGCAGUUAUGUAGAGGCGCUGGCCUCUCUAUAACUUCGGUGGAUCAUGCCCUAGUUCUAAAUGUAAGACAGCUCCCUUGCUGUCUUACAUUUUUAGACCUUUUUUCUACGCCCGAAACAGGCGUUGAAAACGGUAAAUGAGACGGGACUGCCGGCCCCUCCAAUUUCCCGUCCACAGCACGCCCACUUAUUUAGACCUGGCGUGAUCGGAGCGAAAAAACAGACCACAAUCUGCGUCUGAGAUACGCCUAAUAUAGACGUAUUUCAGCUUAAUAAAUGACCCCCAAUGUUUCAAACCGUGCCCGAAAGUUGCCACAAAUGCAGACUCUGUUUCAGGACCACCAAAUUCCCCCUGCUGCUUAUAGUCACCUCUGUCCUGACUGAUAUGGGGGCGCUGUAAGCAGACUGACUGUCACAGGGGUGGGGUGCACUGAGGCUAUGAGAAGUCGUCUCUACGCUCUGCAUAUUUAGUUAAAAGCUGCUAUGAUUUCCAUACUCUGGUCUAUUAGUAGCUUCCUGCACAGGUGCGCCAUCUGGUGGUCAAACGUUACAAUGUUUACAAUGUAUCGCAUGUUUCUUUUAUCUUUUUUUUUAAUCUUACAUCUCUACAUUCAGAGAGUCAUAUCUCUCUGUGAGAGCUUGUUUUUGGGUUGGGUUUAUACUAUAUACGUGUAUUUUUAACCUAGAUUUUUAGGAGCUGCUUAUAUAUCGUUGUCCAUGUGAUUCAUUUCAUAAUAUAUCUAUGCAGGGGC